rnacentral:tRNA from 1 species
GGUGGUUCAGUGGUAGAGUGCUUGCCUUGCAUGCAUGAGAGCUGGGGUUCAAUUCCUCAGCACCA